GCUGUUACAGAUGUAGGAUUGCAGCCAAGCUACUUACCCAGGAUUAUGAAAUGUAUGGGACUUCUUGGUAGACCUGGUUUGGUUUAGCCAUUGGUCAGUUCGACUUGAGCAUGGCAGGGGUUUCUUCUCUUCCCAGUCUCUUCUCUGAUUCCCGCCCGCCCAGCAACUUCCCAUUUAUUAUGUGGGUUAGUUAAUUUCUCACAUCAUCUACAGAGGAACUCCCAAUUUCUUUUUUUAAAACGGUGAACGAACGUCUCUUCCUGCCGCCAGGAGGCAACCAGGGAUGCUGGUUACAGGUAUGGCUGUUCCUAUUUAGAUUCUUGCAGAACGAAGAAUGCCAAAACUGAAGGCUUAUGGGUCUUGGCAGAUGGCCUUCAUGUGUGAGUGGUGUUUGGGCUAUUCAAGCGCUGGGACUUGGGGAACUGAGAUCACUGUUGGUACAUUUGAUGCUCCAGUCUCUUGAUCAGGCAUAGGCAAACUCGUUCCUCCAGAUGUUUUUGGGCCUACAACUCCCAUCAUCCCUAACCACUAAGCCAAGUUUGCCUAUGCCUGCUCUUAAUCACUGGAGGAGUAGCAUUCUGCAUUGCUGCUAGGCAAAGCAGCAUCUGCUGAACAUCAGCCUGCCACGUUGCGCUUAACUACAGAAGAGAGAAGGUGGUAACCUUACAUGCAACUGCUGCAUUUAAACAGUUACAAAUGGAGAAUUAUAUGUUGCAGGUCAACAAACGAGUUAGAAUUGUAAAGCAUAACUAUUAAUAUCUUUGGUUGGGGUGUCAUAUUGUCCUUGACCACAAGAUGCCACUGCAGUAUCUAAACAUUGAUUCUGGCAGGGGGUGGAGGAAUAUCUGUCCAACGGCGAUCAAUUUUUCCAUACGAAACGGGUAGUUUAAUAGCAUGUAUGCCUAAAUGGCAAACAUGAGCUGGCUUUGUCUCAGAUUAGGUGUUAUUUUAAUGUCUGAAUUUCUGGAACUUGUAAUUUGGUAAGGCUGCUGGCUCAGUUUAUACGUCUACUUGGAAUUGUACCAGGAGAGUUUGGUGCCUAAGGCAGAGUAGACCCAAUCUGGCGAACUGUGUAGGGAGCUCAGCCCCAAGGAACUGGAAGUAGCAGUUUGCUGUGUUCUCUUGGCUAGCAAGAAGACAUAAACUUUUGUUUAGAGUUGCUGCCUCAGUCCUGGUUAAAACUAUGCUUGCUGAAGUAACUUGGUUGGGAACUAAGUGUUUAUGUGCUACUAAUUUCACGCAUGGCUAUAUGGCAGUAACAAACCCUGGUAACAUUUAUGUUUAAGAAGGGUGGGGCACCUCCAACAGGUCUAGUUAGGCCUAGCAAAGGUCCUGAUUUGACCUGUUUCCCACAAGCCAAGCCCAUUUGCUGUCUUCAGAUGCAGGCAAAUGCUUGGUUGCCAUGAAUUUGAAGUCUGUUUGCAUUGGAAACCACUUUCAGUGGGACGUCAAAACUCGUGGCUCUGAGCAGAAUUAUUGCAAAGGCAAUGUGUCUCAGCAACCAUCAGGUGAUCGGCACUGGUACAUUGCCUUUAAAAGUCACUUCGCAAGCGUGUUUUAAUGAGACAACUUGUUCCUCAUCUUGUGUGACCCUGAGGGUCAGAGAAAAAGAGAGAGUUUGAUUCUUUUUUAAAAACCAAAUCCAUAAAACAUGGUGUGGUAAUUAAAAUAUAUCUGUUUAAUUGUAAGGGGGCGGCGGUCUACAUUGCUGAAGCAGACCUGGCAGGGCCUGGCCAAAGCAGUGGGUGCACUUUCUCCUUCCUUGACACUUGAGUAAGGACAGAGGCACCGGUUUGCCCCCAAGAUGGGGCAGUACAUGUCUUGCAUGUGUGUCAUCGCACACACAAUGUCACACAUGUCUCCCCAUACCAUGCAAGGCCAGUGCAGCCUUCCCUGAUGGGCCCCCUCAACAUUGGUGGGGCUGGGCCACCUUCAAACAAAUAUUGAGGGGUCCUAAGACACCUCUUCCCCCUAGAGUUGGUGCACCUGGUUAAGGAUAGGAUAGUGACCAGCUUUGUGAUGUGAACAGAGGCGACCAUUUUAAGGCCUGUAAAUGUUGGAGCAGACAGCCUUAUUUAAGCUCAGAAGGGAUCUGUAGCUGGUCGUGACCAAACACUUUUUAUAUUGCCUGACAUUUUCUUCCUGAUAGUGCGCGCGCGCAUAUAUUCCCAGAUCAGCACAUUUGAGACAAUAAGCCUUUCCCCCCAGCUUGGAGGGGCCUACUUAGGCAGAGGAACAAGAGUAAUAAGUGUCGCUCUGUAUAAUCCUCAUUAGCUGCUACAGCUUAGAGAAGGAAAUCCUCAGAGGGAAUUCAGGAUUUCACUUUAAAAAAGAAAGAGGGGAAAGAUUUGCUUAUGCAAUAAAAUCUGGCUUGUGCAUAAUAUGACAUACACAGAGUUGUGGUUUUUUUCUUCUAAAAAGGAGAGGAGCUGCAAGAGUUAAUCCUCACAAAACAAUGCUCAACCUAAUAAAACAAAAAGCCUAACCCAAA